UACGAAGGGGGCUAGCGUUGUUCGGAAUCACUGGGCGUAAAGGGCGCGUAGGCGGCUUUAUAAGUCGGGGGUGAAAGCCUGUGGCUCAACCACAGAAUUGCCUUCGAUACUGUAUGGCUAGAGACCGGAAGAGGUAAGUGGAACUGCGAGUGUAGAGGUGAAAUUCGUAGAUAUUCGCAAGAACACCAGUGGCGAAGGCGGCUCACUGGCCCGAUACUGACGCUGAGGCACGAAAGCGUGGGGAGCAAACAGG
rnacentral:rRNA from 1 species